GAUGAACGCUGGCUACAGGCUUAACACAUGCAAGUCGAGGGGAAACGACGGGGAAGCUUGCUUCCCCGGGCGUCGACCGGCGCACGGGUGAGUAACGCGUAUCCAACCUGCCUCUGACUGAGGGAUAACCCGUCGAAAGUCGGCCUAAUACCUCAUGGCAUCGUCUGCGGGCAUCCAACGACGAUUAAAGAUUUCAUCGGUCAGGGAUGGGGAUGCGUCUGAUUAGUUUGUUGGCGGGGUAACGGCCCACCAAGGCUACGAUCAGUAGGGGUUCUGAGAGGAAGGUCCCCCACAGGGGAACUGAGACACGGUCCAAACUCCUACGGGAGGCAGCAGUGAGGAAUAUUGGUCAAUGGGCGGGAGCCUGAACCAGCCAAGUAGCGUGCAGGAUGACGGCCCUAUGGGUUGUAAACUGCUUUUAGGCGGGGAUAAAGUGAGGGACGUGUCCUUCAUUGCAGGUACCGCAUGAAUAAGGACCGGCUAAUUCCGUG
rnacentral:rRNA from 1 species